rnacentral:lncRNA from 1 species
GGGAAAUGAAUGAUUCCAACUGUGCUUCUAAGAGGACUGACUUUCUCUCGGUCUAGUGAGUCCGGUGGGAUGCUACUUCUUGCUGGAGGAGAUUUCUGCAAUAGCUGAAGCCCGUGGGUGUCCCAUGGACUGUAGUCACCGCUUUUGCCCCCAGACACUGUGGUGAUGGCUAUCACUCCCAUGAUCUCCGGUUUUAUUUGUGUUAAGCUACAUUCCUAGAAGUGGAAACACCAAGAAAACAAGUCUUCUCUUCAAGACUUUAACACGAUGGAUAUUGCCCAGGAAAGAUGAUUUCUAGUUCAAACCCCAA